ACGCUCGACACCUACGGGAGGCAGCAGUGGGGAAUAUUGCACAAUGGGGGAAACCCUGAUGCAGCGACGCCGCGUGAAGGAAGAAGUAUUUCGGUAUGUAAACUUCUAUCAGCAGGGAAGAAGAAAGUGACGGUACCUGACUAAGAAGCCCCGGCUAACUACGUGCAAGCAGCCGCGGUAAUCUGAGCGGGCUGGCAAGGC
rnacentral:rRNA from 1 species